GUUGAGAAUUGCUGUGUGAGGCACAAGGAGACACUUUUGCACUGCUGUGUCCCACUGAAGAACAGUGAGGAAGCGAUGCGCUGUAGAAGGCAAACUGCAGACCGUAGAGUGAACAACUGUCCCUGAGUGGAGGAUGGAGUGCUGCCAAAAUGUUCCAUUGGAAGGGCUUGGAAUUUGCCUGAAGGGCACAAACAGAUGGGAAGGUUCGCCUGAGGAACUGUGACGUCCAGAAGGAAAAACUGAGGAGAUGGAAGCGACUGUGUUCCAGCUAGGCUGUUCAGGCUCCCUUCCUCACUCAUACGGUCGUUUGCUUCAUCCUAAAAUAUGUCUGGAAUAUUUGAAUAAAUCCCCAGAGGUGCCUCUCUCUGUUGACACUGCAGAGCGAGGCCAGAAGCUGAGAUGAGCUGAGUUCUGGACAAGUGAAGGCCCCUGUGCUCAUCAUCAUUUCCUGCAAAGUAAAACUGUGAUCCUGAACAAUGGUGCAAGAAUGUUUCCCUUCUCAUCUCUUCGGCUCAGCCACUGCGAGUUCUCCAAGCUGAAAUUAGGCCAAAAUAUUUGUACCUAUGCUACACUCAAAACCCAAGGGAUGACUAUGAAUUUUUCAAUAGUGAUAUUAUUUUCUAUGUUAAAUCAGUCUUAUUACAUUUAUUGUCAUAUUACUAUUAAAAAUGCCUUUAUAAUUAGCUAAGCAAAGCACUGGUUUUAUGAGUAGUUUUCUUCCAAUCUUCUUGUUCCAGAAACAAGUUUUGGCAUCCAUAAGGAAAUAUGCCCAUGUCUGGAAAGAAAUG
ensembl:lncRNA